rnacentral:rRNA from 1 species
GACGAACGCUGGCGGCAUGCCUAACACAUGCAAGUCGAACGAGACCUUCCGGUUUAUUGGCGCUCGGCUGCGUAACGCCUGGUAACUUGCCCUUAGGUUCGCUAUACCUCCCCUAAAGGUGUCCUAAUACCGGAUAAUCUCUUCGCACCUAAGAUUUCUCGCCUUUGGGUGGGCCCUCGUUGGAUUCGCUAGUUGGUAGGGUAAAAGCCUACCAUGGCCACGAUCCAUAGCUGGUCUGAGAGGAUGAACAUCCACACUAGAACUACGACACGGACCAGAAUGGUACGGGAAGCAGCAGAGGGGAAUAUAGGACAAGGAAGGAAAGCCUGAUCAAGCAACGCGCGGGAAGAGAGGAAGGGGUUAGGGUUGUAAAGCUGUUUUACCCGGGAUGAUAAUGACGGUACCGGGAGAAUAAGCACCGGCUAACUCCGUG